rnacentral:lncRNA from 1 species
AGGAAUUCACACCUCUCUGAGUAGCCUCUCCCCAACCCAACUAGCAAAUCCUUGCCAUUUUAUCUUUAACAUCCAUUAAAAUUAGGUAUUUUUGGCUUUUUCUUUUAAAUUCUAUAUUCUGAAAUGAACAUGCAGUUUUUACAUUCAUUGAAAUAAGUCUUGUUGUGUUAUGAUGCUUUUUUAGAAAUUAGUAUGUGGUCAUUUGUAUUGAUAUAACUAAUUAAUUUUUCACUGAUUUUUUUUUCCAUUUGACUCAAAGUUAUCUACACAUUUUGCCUAAAAUAAACAUUCAAGCAAAUUAAUUUAUUGAAUAAUGUACACAUUUAACUAUAAUCUGCAACAACUUUUUAAAUACUACAGGAUUAUUAUUAAAAACUUAAUCAAAAUUUUUCUGUAAUUCAAGAGGUAUAAUAAAUUUUCUAAGUUUCUAAAUUAUGUAUUCUAUUUCAAUGAAAUAAAUAACAUUUUUUUACUGAUUUUUUUUUCAGUUUGACUCAAAGUUAUCUACACAUUUUGCCUAAAAUGAACAUUCAAGCAAUUCAUUAUUGAAUAAUUUACAAGAAGGAAUAUUAUAAUUUACUUUUUAUAUAUUUUUGUGAGUUUUUCUAAAAAAAUACUUUAAUUAUUUUGAUUUAUUCAGGAAUAAAAAAUAUAUGUAGAUCUACAAAAAUUAACAUAUCAAUUUAAUUCAACAGACCUAUAAACUGCAAAAACUUUUUUUUAUAAGACUACAGAAUUAUUCUUAAAAUUUAAUCAACAUCAUUAUUUAUUUCCAAAUAAUAAUCAAAGUUGCUGAAUAUGUUGAUUAAGUAUGUGAUAAAGUUCUGCUGUUAUGCUUCUUUGAUCUGAGACUGCUCAACACCUUGUAGACUAUUAAUCAAAGAUCAGUCAAGUAUAACGAUAGAUCAUUUAACACCUAUUUAAUGACUAUAAAUAAUUAGGGGGUGAAACAUCUAGGGGUGAAACAUCCAGGAGGUGAAAAGUCUAGGGGAGAAACGUCUAGGAGGUGAAACGUCUUGAUACCAAAAAUAUGAGCACAGAUCUCUGGAGAAAAUUUGUUGACAGUUAUUUCAGCAAUCGAAGUUAUAUUUUCCACAGGCACAGGCAUUUUCCCAAACGGUAGGAGAAUUUUGAUAGAGAUUCUGCAUAUGACAGACUACAAUAUAUUAAGGAGCAGUAGGGGAGUUAUCAACCAUUGUAUUCUAGUGUCUGUAGGACAACUACACAAGGACUUUUUCAACAAUAAAAGCUGUCCACACUCAGCAAAAUGACUUGAACAUAAAAAGGCUAAGCAUGUAUAUGCCGAUACUUCAUUCAACAUGUUCCACUCAAAGGAAAUACUGCCUUUGCCCAACAAUAAUGAGAGUAUAGCUGAAAGUACUGUAUUACUACACUUGUGUAAGAAUGAGUAAUUUUAGAAACAAAAUGUAGAAUCAGCUUCAAUUUCGAACAAAAAAACUUCGAGAAAGAAUUUUUACACAGAUAAAGUGGCAUGAACAAAGUCGAACCCUUUGUGGCAAUGGAGAAAAUGAGACUAUCGGGAAAGUUUACCAGACAUAAAUUCUUGUCAGGUCAACAAAUCAGCUCCUACUUCUCUCAUUUUCAUCAACUCGAAAAGACAACAGAUGUUGAAGAUUAUGACUCGGAUGUUAAAGAAGAUGGAAAGAAAGCUAUCCGGUCAAAAAGUUCUUUCAAGUCUAAAUUGACAGCAGCCACUAAAGACAAAAUAUGACUACUUCCAUGGCUGACAAUUUAAAGUUAGCAGAAGACUUAAGAAAUAAUUUAUAGCAGAACCGUUUUUUACUUUGUUUUUUCACAAUGGGAGUUUUAGGUCAAGCAAGAGCAGUUAUUUCAUAUUACGUUUAACAGUCAGAUUGUAUAGUGUUUAAACAUGUCUUGCUAGAAACUAUUGCUAUUCUAAUAUAUCUGGUAUGUAAAAGUUAUAUCAAAUAUGACGGAACUGUUUAUUUUGCACAUGUAUGGCACCAAAUGUUAGGUCGUCACAUUCUUUGUCAGUACCAGAAAUGGUAUGCUUGCACAUUGAACUGGCGUUUCCAAUGUUGGCAAAACCCAUCUGAUAUUCCCCAUGCCAGAUGAAUUUCGUGCUGUUAAUGACAACUAGAGAUUCAUGCACAUAUAUCGUUUAUGUGAAAUUCGAAAAAGUCAGAUAUAUUGAUAGUUUCUCUACGUUCCUUGUAGUAUAUUUCUUGCUUCAAAAGAUGUUACUUUAUGGUGAUAACACAACGUUACACUACAAAUGAUAAAGCUAAAAUGGAACUUUAUUACUGUGCAUCACUGAAAGGUCAUGACAUCACUUCUGCUUACAGACAUCUAUUUCUCACACUUUACAAACUCUAAGAAAGAGUGCUACAAAGAAAGUAUUUCUAUUUGCUUUAUCUAUUUUUUUAUUUGUAAAAUACUGUGUGCAUGGAAACUAGUCUGUCAGAAUAUAAAACUUUUAUGUAUAAGAAAAGCAAGAAAAACCUUCAGUCAUGUGUUUAAAAUUCAGAUAGAAAUAUUCGUCCCUCUGCCACCUGAGCAUGGGUGCAUGAUAUCGAGGAUUGUAGAGUUGCCGCCCAAUGUGCAGGUGCCCUCGGGAUGGAUAUUUCUAUCUGAUUCGUAUAAUAAAUGACAUAUAUUAUUAAUACAUCUUGCAGAAUUGUUCCAUUAAGGCGCAAAUGAAAGAGAAAGCGUACAGCAAAUAACUAGCUCAGUAUGUAUGUGUAAAUUAAUCAAGAAAGUUGUGUUUUGUGAUAUUUUGUUUAAAAACAUGUUUUCUAAG